rnacentral:lncRNA from 1 species
UACACUUAGCGUUUCACCGAAGACUUUUAUUUUGAAGGCAAAAUCGGAAAAACGGAAGUUUUAAUACUGCUGGCGGAUGCAAAUCCCUUGUUCUAUCUGGCUCUGGGGUUUUUCCGCGCCCCGCUGGUGGUCUAUGGAGGUACUGCAGGGGGCCUGCUUAUUUUUGGGGGGGAAAUAUUUGUGGGGAUUUUUUAAUAUGACAAAAACAUUUUUAUGAAUAUCGCUAGAUACAAGAGAAUACCAUCGUGAAUACCAUUUUAUGUCUCUGUAUCCAGUAUGAAUAAUAUUAGAGGUAGUUUCACGAGCAAAUGCUAAUUAGUGUUAGCACAAUGACUGGAAGUCUACGGAACAGUUAGCAUGCUAGCUGUUCCGGUUCAUCCGACUCUGGGGAGUAGAUAAAUGGCUUCACUGCAAAAAUCUCAAACUAUCCCCAUAACAUGGAGGACAUUACAGUCAUUGGAGCUAAUUACAGAGGUUUUUCUGUAUAUAAUAUUCUGAGGUGGGCCUUCUAAGUGGUAAUGUUCGGGAUGGAAAAAUAGUUUCAGUGUCAACUUAAACGACCAAAACCAGAUAGAUAUUAUACAGAAAUUAUAUUUGUAUACCAUCUUUGAGAACUAACAAACAAAUAAAAUCUAUACAGUCAGGGAUCGAAAAUAAAAAGAAAUCAGGCAUUCAGGGCACAUGCCAAUUGAUUUUGUUAUGUUUGAGCAGCCAUGGCAAAAUGUAUAGAAUUGCAGGAAAUUUGCUUUGAAACUGCAAAGUUCUUUCUCAGCUUUGUGUAGAAUUGUUGGAAAUUAGCUUAAAAUCUACAAUUUUUUCUUUCAGCUCAAUGGAAAAAUGUACUAAAGCAACAUUUUCUCUCCACCGCCAAGAUACCUUUACCUUUCUAGCAAAUUGAGUUUACACUUCCUCUUCCAAUGACCAGUGAGGAGGCCAAAAUAAUAUUAAUAAUAAUAAUAUACAUUUAUUCAACUUCUAUAGUUAAGGAGAUCAUACAUUUUUUUUAUUUAACCUUUAUUUAACCAGGUAGGCCUGUUGAGAACAAGUUCUCAUUUACAACUGCGAAUUAUGAUGCAUGUGAAUAGUUUUGUAUCUAAAAUCUAAGUGUUGCAACAUUUGAGUGCCACGGGAUAUCUGAACAUCAUUGCCAGUCAGGUGCAUCCCUUCAUGGUAGCAGUGUAUCCAUCUGCAAAUAUAUUUGAUUUAAUUUAGUGCAGAUGUGAAGUUUCUGAAGGGAUAUAUGACACACUUUAUGUUGUUUGAAUAUCAAUAUACUGUACUUUAUUAGAACACAUCGUAUUUCAUAAUAGUGCUGAGAUUAACAUUUAAAAAAUGUAUAAAGUUCCUACUCAUAUGUUGUUCCAUUCAGGAUAGUGUCCUCACUAAUGUACCAGUUGUCAAUGUCACCUUUGAUGAAGCCAGCGAUGAUAACAAAAACAAACACUACUGUAUUUACUGCUGUAAAAAAUCUUAUUCACAAUAGCAGACUCUUUAAAUGCCAAAUCCCUAUGGAAGAAACAAGUGAUAAAUUGUACCAAGACAUUCUGAGAGCAGCAGCAAAGAAGUCUGGGUAGGAAGCAAGGCCUGGCAAAUCCAUUGCUGCAUGUUAACCCAAAGAGUUGGCAAUGGCAUUUCCAAUGAGGUCAUCAAAGGUCCCACUCCAUGCCCUGGCUACACUUGAUGUUCCUGAUCAGAGAAGAAAAAUACUGUAUCGAGAAACCAAAGGUGGUUACGUCUGCUUUGUAUAAAGGAUUUUUACAGUAUGUCAAUGAGACAUUUUCAAUGCAGCAGUGAGCUCUGAUUGGUAUUGUUGAUAUAUUUUGGUCCGUAUGGGCUUGAGCUCUGACGGAGCAUCCAAUAAAACAGCUUAUAUCUAAUAUUUUAUAUUGAUUAUUAAAUUUGACAUGCCUAUGACAUAACAGCAGCAAGUUCCAGCCAGUGAUGAAGGCCCAAAUCUCCCCCACUGUCACAUAGCUGUAGAGAUAGGCAGAGCCAGUCUUGGGCACCCAAGCUCUAAAUUCAGCAUUGCACAGCCCUGCAAAGAUGGAGGCUAUUGCUGCCGCAAGGAAAUAUAUAAUUAAACUGGGCCCAAC